rnacentral:rRNA from 1 species
AACGAACGCUGGCGGCAUGCCUAACACAUGCCAGUCGAACGAGACCUUCGGGUCUGGUGGCUCACGGGUGCGUAACGCGUGGGAACCUGCCCUUAGGUUCGGAAUAACUCCCCGAAAUGGGUGCUAAUACCGGGUACUGUUUUCGGACCAAACAUUUAUCGCCUUUGGGUGGGCCCGCGUUGGAUUAGCUGGUUGGUAGGGUAAAAGCCUACCAGGGAGACGAUCCAUGCCUGGGCUGCUAGGAGGAUAAGCCACACUGGGACUGAGACACAGCCCAGACUGGUAGGGGAGGGAGCAGUGGGGAAUAUUGGAGGAUGGGCGAAAGCCUGAUCAAGCAAUGUGGGGUGAGUGAUGAAGGGGUUAGGGUUGUAAAGCUCUUUUAGCCGGGAUGAUAAUGACAGUACCGGGAGAAUAAGCUCCGGCUAACUACGUG